rnacentral:rRNA from 1 species
UACGGGGGGGGCAAGCGUUGUCCGGAAUUACUGGGCGUAAAGGGCUCGUAGGCGGCCAACUAAGUCCGACGUGAAAUCCCCAGGCUUAACCUGGGAACUGCGUCGGAUACUGGAUGGCUUGAAUCCGGGAGAGGGAUGCGGAAUUCCAGGUGUAGCGGUGAAAUGCGUAGAUAUCUGGAGGAACACCGGUGGCGAAGGCGGCAUCCUGGACCGGCAUUGACGCUGAGGAGCGAAAGCCAGGGGAGCAAACGGG